rnacentral:lncRNA from 1 species
GCUACCCUAGCACGUUUCUUUGUCUGCCGCCGCUGGUAGAAGUCUUUGUUUUUCUUGUUCGUGUGGAACUUUUGUUCUUUGAUUUCUGUGUUUCCCAGUUGUUUUUUUUACCGCAUCAGGAAGUGGAUCCAUAGUAGUGACCUGGAAAAGAUGGAGAAUGAAUUAGCCCACUUGUCAAUCAAUGAGGAAGAAGAGGAUGCAAUUCUCAUACCAACAGAUCCAAAUCGGGAAAAAGAGGGUGAGUUUUUUCAACUUGUGGGAUGUUUUCUCACAGCUAGUAUGAUUCAUUUUUCUGCUAUGGAAAGUACAAUGGCAAACUUGUGGCAUCCGGUUCGGGGUGUUCGAAUUCGAGAUCUGGGGGAAAGAAGGUUUUUGUUUCAAUUUUUUCAUGCUAUGGAUAUGGACAGGGUGUUAAAGGGUUCACCUUGGACCUUUAACAACCAUCUGCUGAUUCUUUACAAAUUAAAAGUUGGAGAGGAUCCGUUACAAGUCCCUUUAGUUUUCACACCUUUCUGGGUUCAGAUCCAUGAGGUGCCAAUUGGCCUAUAUUCCGAAAAUUUAGCUACGCAGAUGGGGAAUUUUUUGGAAUAUGACGUUUCAAACUUGGGGAAAGAAAAUAGGAACUUUAUGAGAAUUAGGGUCCAAAUUGAUGUAAGGCGUCCUUUGAAAAGGAGGAAACAAAUUUUAUAUGGGGAGAGACGUUCAUACGUCACUUUUAAGUAUGAAAGAUUGUCACUCUUUUGUUUUUUCUGUGGAAGAUUGGGCCAUAGGGAUUCGUUCUGCGAAACAAAAAUGAAUAUUAGAGUAGAAAUCGCAGAUUUGGGAUGGGAUCUUUCUAUCAAAGCACAAUCCCAAAGGUCACUAUCAAUGAAGAGUAUCUGGUUACGGGAGGAAACAGAUGAUGAUAGUGGAGGUCUUGGUGAAGAAAAUACAGAGGUCCAAAUGGAGAAACAGAAGAUAGGGGGAAAAUUAAGAUUUGGGAAGAUUGUUGAUCAAAUCCUUGGUCUUAAUCUGGAAUGAGGUAUAUGCUGCGUAGGCCAAGGAAAUGGAAAUGGCACAAGUAUUAUGAUGGAACAUGAUUUGGAGGAAGUUGCUAUUAUAGGUGAGGAAGGAAAAAAGAGAUCUAGAAGGGAAAUUGAAGAUUGUGCAGGAAGAGAAGAGAAGGACAGUUUGAUGGUAAGAAGCAGGAAAGUGGUGGAAAUCAAUCAUUUAACAUCGGCGGCUGCCAAAUGGCAAGCCGACCGGACACAAUAAAAAUACUAAGUUGGAAUGUCUGUGGAUUGGGGAAUCCACGGACAGUUCGAAGACUUCAGCAUUCGCUGAAGAAUUAUAAUCCCCAAAUUGUCUUCUUCAUGGAGACCAAGCUUUGUAGAAAUCGGAUGGAAAGAAUUCGUCGUAGAUGUGGUUUUGCGAAUGGUAUAGAGGUGGAUUCAAAGGGUACUAGAGGAGGGUUGUGUUUGUCGUGGCAAAAUGAUACUAAUGUUACGCUCCAGAAUUUUUCUAAAAGACAUAUUGAUGUGAUGGUGGCUGAUGAUGAAAGAGAUACUUCAUGGCGACUUACUGGGUUUUAUGGGUCACCAUAUGCGCACGAUAGAGAAGAUUCAUGGGCAGUGCUAAAAAGUCUCCGAAAAAACGAAGAAAUCCCCUGGUUUGUGUGUGGAGAUUUUAAUGAGAUUAUGUACGGCUUUGAAAAAAAAGGAGGUUUGCUGAGAGAUGAAAAAAGAAUGGAGAUGUUCCGUGAAACUUUAGAAUUUUGCCAGUUGACUGACGUGGGAUAUUCUGGUAGAUGGUUUACAUGGGAAAGAGGCAAUUUACCGGAAACAUGCAUACAAGAACGACUGGACAGGGGUGUAGCAAACGAAAAUUGGAUUUCUAUGUUCCCUAUGGUGAAGGUUCAACAUCUGGUUCACUCUUUCUCUGACCACUAUCCUUUAUUAAUUAACACAGCUAAAGAAGAUAAACGAAGACCGAAAAGCCAUUUCAAAUUUGAAGCCUGGUGGAUAUUGGAAGACUCUUUUCUGGAUGAAGCCAAACAUAUAUGGGAAACNNNNNNNNNNNNNNNNNNNNNNNNNNNNNNNNNNNNNNNNNNNNNNNNNNNNNNNNNNNNNNNNNNNNNNNNNNNNNNNNNNNNNNNNNNNNNNNNNNNNNNNNNNNNNNNNNNNNNNNNNNNNNNNNNNNNNNNNNNNNNNNNNNNNNNNNNNNNNNNNNNNNNNNNNAAUUAAAUUUUGAAAUUGAAAAGGAUGAAAGAUACUGGGAACAAAGGGCAAGACAAAACUGGCAAGACUAGGUGACAGGAAUACAGCCUUCUUUCACAGUCAAGCAACGCAAAGGAAGAGGAAAAAUACGAUACACAAAUUACAAAGCGAUUGCAAAGUGGUAACAGACGACCUUCAAGAAAUGGAAGCAUAGCACGGCCCUACUUUCAGCACUUAUUUAAUACAGCCAAUCAGGCGAAUUUUGAUAAUUUACUUACGAGAAUUGAUCGAUGUGUUGCUGAAGAAGAUAACCGAAAGCUUACAGAACCAUAUACAAAAGAAGAGGUUAGAGAGGCAUUAUUUAAAAUUCAUCCCCACGAAGGCUCCCGGUGAAGAUGGCUUCCCGGCUCUAUUUUAUCAAAAAUGUUGGCACUUCAUUGGAGAGGAGGUUAUGGCAUUUUGUUUACUUCAUUUAAAUGGCGGAAUGGAGGUUAGUUCAAUCAAUUUAACGCAUAUUGUUCUUAUUCCAAAAAUUAAUGACCCUGUUAAUAUGACGCAUUUUAGGCCAAUCAGUUUAUGUAGUGUUAUUUAUAAAAUCAUGGCUAAGGCUAUUGCAAAUAGAUUUAGAGGGAUUAUCAAUAAAUGUAUUGACAGUGCCCAAAGUGCUUUUGUACCGGGAAGAUUAAUUUCAGACAAUGUAUUGCUGGCCUAUGAAUUAUUACAUACACUGAAACAAAAAAGAAUAGGGAAGAAGGGUUUUAUGGCAGUUAAACUUGACAUGAGUAAAGCCUACGAUAGGGUUGAAUGGGAUUUUAUUCGGGAAAUAAUGCUGAGGAUGGGUUUUGCCACAAAAUGGAUUGAUUCUCUUAUGAAUUGUAUGUCGACUGUCUCUUAUCAAGUUGUGGUCAAUGGUAGUAUGGGUGAAACUUUCAAUCCAAAAAGGGGACUGAGACAAGGGGAUCCACUGAGUCCAUUUCUGUUUCUAAUUUGUGGAGAGGGAUUAUCUAGUCUGAUGAGAAUAGCUUUAAAUAAUGGGGCAAUUAAAGGAGUCAAGGCAAGCAGAAGUGGCCCACAUGUGACACUUAUUAUUUGCAGAUGACUGCAUUUUAUUCGGGGAAGCGUCAAGUAAAGGAGCUACAGCGAUUAAGGAGAUCCUGAAGGAGUAUAAGCGAUGUUCGGGUCAGUGUGUGAAUUUUUCUAAAUCUACCGUUUUCUUUAGUAAAAACACUUCAGAGGAAGAAAGAAGUUCAGUUGUACAUUUGCUGGGUGUUCGAAGUUCAGAUGAGCCGGAACGUUAUUUGGGUUUGCCGAAUAUGGUUGGACGAAAAAUGAAACAAUCUUUUGGGGUCUUGAAAGAUAGAUUUAAGAAGCGUAUUGAGAAUUAGAGUAACCGGUUUUUGUCACAAGGGGGAAAAGAGGUUUUCAUAAAAGCUGUUUUUCAAGCCAUACCGACAUAUUCAAUGACAUGUUUUUUAAUACCAAAAUCAAUAUGCGAAGAUCUGGAAAGUAUUGUUGCAAAAUAUUGGUGGCAGAAAGGUCGUGGAAAAGGGGGUAUACAUUGGUGCUCGUGGAAAAACCUUUGUCUUUUAAAGGAAAACGGAGGAAUGGGUUUCCGAAAGCUUAGUCAGUUUAAUAUUGCCUUAUUAGCCAAGCAGGGAUGGCGUUUAAUAAAUUAUCCAGAUUCCCUUUUAGCAAGAGUGCUUAAAGCUAAAUAUUAUCCACGGACGAAUUAUCUAAAUGCACAGUUGGGAAACUUACCAUCUCUUACCUGGAGGAGCAUUUGGGCAACGAAAGGAACCCUUCUCAAAGGGCUAAGAUGGAGAGUGGGGGCAGGAACCGCAAUAUCCAUUUGGAAUGAUCGAUGGAUACCAGGGAUUGAACCUGAGAUAUGGCAGAACAGAGAAAGAAAUGGAGGGUUAAACUUAGUAUCAGACCUAAUUGACAGCACAACCAAGACGUGGAAAGUAGAAACAAUUACAACUACCUUCCAAAGGGAUGUCGCCCAGAGAAUUCUGCAGAUUCCUUUAGCAAGAAUAGACUGUGAAGACAUGUAGGUGUGGAAAGGUGAACAAUCAGGUGAGUUCUCAGUUCGGAGCGCAUACAAACUAUUACAAGAAGCUAGUCUGGAGCCUAAUAGUUAUUUAGUACAUACCAAAACUAAAGAAUUUUACAAGAACCUAUGGAAUUUACAACUACCACAAAAGAUUUUAAUCCUUAUAUGGAGGAUUUCCUGGAACCAUAUCCCAUCCCUGGCUAAUCUGAAAUAUAAAAGAGUAACUGCAAACUCCAGAUGCCCUCGUUGCGAAUCUGAGGAAGAAGAUAGCGAUCAUGUGUUUCGAAAAUGUCCUGUAAGCAUGGAAGUAUGGAUUAGACUCAAUAUGACGUGGGUAACAUAAUAUACAAGUCAGAAUGUCUGGAGUUGGCUCACCUGGGUCUUUGAUAAAGGAACAAAGGAGCAGACUCGAUUGUUUUGUUGUGCUCCAUGGGUUUUAUGGGGCUCGCAGAAUCAGAUGAUACAUGAGAAGAAAGCCAUAUCAGGAUUAGAUCUUUCACAGAAAAUACAGAGUUAUCUAAUGGAACUUGAAGGAAGUAGGGGAAGUAGGAUUUCUCACGCGUCUACUGAAGCUGCAAGACGAGACAGAGAUACAGCAAGGGAGAUAAUAUAGUUUGAUGCAGCCUUUGAUAUCAGGAACUUUAGAUCGGCGUCAGGAAUGGUUGUUCGGGAUCAAGAUGGUGUGAUUAGAGCCUCAAAGUCAACUUUGCACUUCAACAUUUCAUCUCCGUUUGUUGCCGAAGCAUAUGCAUGUUUGGAGGCAACCAAGUUAGGUAUCAGCAUGGGGAUAGAAUCAGUCACGAUUAUGGGGGAUUUGAAAACAGUUAUUCACAAAUGUCAAUCAACAACAAAGGACAAAUCUGUUAUCGGGACGAUUAUUCAUGAUAUUCAGAGUAAUAGAUCUCGUUUUCAGAAAAUUGCUUUCAGAUUUAUUCAAAGAACAGAAAAUGGCCAAGCUCAUAUUCUCGCAAAAGAUGCACUUACAAAAGGGGAAGAGGUAUAC